CUUACUCCUAGGCUGUAAACCUGCAUGACGAAUUCCAGCCCAGAGCAACAUUUUAUGAUCCAGUGUCAAGUUCCUGAAAAAUGAAAAAUGAGGGGAAAGAGGGUUUAACUGUAACAUGGAUACAUUUUGGACUGGAUGUUAACCAAUUGAAAAAGGUAAUGCGCCAGAGUCUAUCCAUGGUCUGAGGAUAUAAAGACAAAUAACACGUGGUUACUGCUUUCAUUAUCCACUGGAAAGGAAAACCAGCUUUAUGAGCCAGGAGCACUCAGAUCAAUUUGGAGCCACUCACGUCAGCAAUCCGGAAGUGGAUGGUAACUCUCUUGGGCUACUCCCCUGACAUCUGGAAUCCAUGAAGAGUUCAAGACAUUGCUGGAAGCAGAGAUGGAUAAGAUGUUACCCACACUGGUUCUGGCCCCUGUGAUCCAUUUACCCUGAGGAGAAAUUAUCCAGCAGGCUGAGAUAUCACACUGACCUCUUCGACUCCAUGUCAGUUGUGGAUCCUAAGAGUCACCAGCUGUUAAGGAUGUUUUGCCUGAAUGCCACCAAGACACUGAGUACACCUCUGCCCCUCUGCACCCACCUUGAGGUCAGAUUUGAUACUUGACUGCAUUUUAAAAAAAAUUUUUAAAGACAAAUUCACAUUUCCCAAGCAUUAAGGAUUAGUUUAGAUUUUCUGAAGAAUGUUCCAAGAAGACAGAGUCCUGCUGGCAGGUGGCAAUAUAUCCUCUUUGCAACCAUCCAGGAGAAGAGAUUUUACAUUCCGUCAGCAAACUCUGAUAGUGUUGAACAAACAUAUCUACAAAAAUGUCAGUUUACUUGGUCUGGGAGGAGAUAAGCCAUUGCCUCAGAUUCCUUCUUUGCAUUCCCUUUCUCUUUGUUAUCUUGCUCCUGAAUUAACUGCUAUAUUUCUAUGCUUAGGAAAUAUAAUAAACUGUAGUAGAAAGCACAAAGGGCCAGUGUGGGAUUGUAAAAUGGCAAGGAACAGAAUCCUACUUUAUGCUACUUCAGGACGCUCAACUGUCGCACAGCAGAAUCACAAGGGGAGCUCUACAAAAAUUGCUGGCAAUUUUCAUUAGUGGGUCUGGGCAGGAGAUUCGUGCAUCUGGAGUUGUAAAUCCUGCACGUAAACCUUUCCCUCAGCAGCCUCUGGUCUCUCCUCCUCUCUGCAUAUGAUUUGUUCCUGCCUAACAAAGCUAAUUCUUUCGCUGAUUCCUACACCAUGAUGCCAGAGGUCCUGUGGCUUUGGUUUGCCCAAGCACCAGUUCUGGCUCCCACCCUGCAGAACCUUUCAGAACCAUCUGUCAGUUCAAAUUACAGAGCAAAUAGAAGAACCUCAGUUCUUCUUUGUUCAAAUAUUAGUCCCACCACUUCUAGAUGUGUGACUUUGACCAUGAUACUUAGAACUCUAAUUUCUUCUGUAAGACAGAGAUACGAACUUCUACUUCACUGGGCUGUUGUUGGAUUAAGUGCAAAUGUAUAUAUGGCAACUGUCCCAGCGCCUGGCCCCUACCAAGUCGGUCCCCAUCCCCCUUCAGGCAAAGGUAAGGCUAAGAGCCCAAUCUGCAAUUUGUCUCUCACCCUGAGCUGGUGUCACCCCCGCUUUCCACAGGUGUCUACAGUGUGGUCAGAUGAGUCUUGUUGCCUCUCCCUUUGCUCACAUUUUUCAAUAGCCAUUUUCAUAACUCCCUAUGACAGAGAUAGAAAAGAAAGUUUCUGAAAUUCAGAGUGGUUUGGCUUACUUGUGUUAGAGUCUCUGGCUGAGAAGAAAAUUAAAACUAAAAGCCAAAAUUCAAUGUUUGUUGUGGGUGUCGGUGGAUUUAAUUCAUCUGUGCCGUCUUAGUUUGGGCUACUCUAACAAAUUACUACAGACUGGGUGGCUGGAACAGCAAACACUUCUCAGUUCUGGAGGCUAGAAGUCAAAGAUCAGGUGCCAGCAAAUCCAGUAUCUGGUGAGAACCUUCGUCCUGGGUUGCAGGUGACUUGUCUUCUUGCUGUUGUGCCCUCAUAUGGUGGGGAGGAGAGGGAGCAAGCUCUCAUGUCUCAUCUUAAUAAGGUCACUAAUGAGGGACGCCUGGGUGGCUCAGUUGGUUAAGUGUCC